rnacentral:snoRNA from 1 species
GUCGAUGAUGGUCGAGGCCCGGCACUGAAGGGUGAUGAAGGCCAUCACACCUGAGA